AUUCAAAUAGUUUAAUUUAAAAUUUUAGUUUGUGGGUCUAAAGAUGAAUAUGUUCUUUGAAUU
rnacentral:tRNA from 1 species